AAGCGUUGUCCGGAUUUAUUGGGCGUAAAGAGCGUGUAGGCGGCUUUGCAAGUCCGUUGUGAAAACUCGAGGCUCAACCUCGAGACGCCGGUGGAAACUGCAAAGCUAGAGUCCGGAAGAGGAGAGUGGAAUUCCUGGUGUAGCGGUGAAAUGCGCAGAUAUCAGGAGGAACACCCGUGGCGAAAGCGGCUCUCUGGGACGGUACUGACGCUGAGACGCGAAAGCGUGGGGAGCAAACAGG
rnacentral:rRNA from 1 species